rnacentral:lncRNA from 1 species
AGAGAUAGGAAAGCAAACACAAGAUGUACGUGGUUCACCCAGAUUGGCUACGUCCACGGAAUAGAAGAGUUCUCAUUAAUUGUGAAGGGUUUACACAAGUACAUAGGUUCAAGCUCUCCUUUAGUGAGUACAAGUGAAUGAUUUAGUACAAAUGACAUUAGAGUACAAAUGACAUGACAUUAGGAAAUAUUGUGGGAGAAUGAUCUCGUAAUCACGAAACUUCUAAGUAUCAGAGUGUGGUAUCAUCUUGACUUGCCUUAUCUGUCUCAUAGGUAGAUGUGGCAGCUUCUCUGGAAGUACUCUUCCUCCAUCCAGGGGUGGUAUCUUUAACUGGUGGAGAUGCACAAGGUAAUGUAUCAAUUUCACUUGAAGCUUACUUGUAGUUUCAGGCUUGGUCAAGCGCGAUACAAACCAUGUAGUAGGAGUCCCCCAAGUCGC